UUAUAUUUAGCUAGAAUAUUUAUCUUAUUGUUAAUAGUUUGUUAAUGACUUAGUCAAUACUUAUCUCUUAGGUUUAGUUUAUACUAGGAUUCUCAUAUUAACCUAGCCGCUUGUAUCAAGCCUAUAUAAAGGCAAUUAUGAUUAAUGAAAUACUCAAGCUUUCCAAUUCUCUAUAUGGUAUCAUGAGCUAUAGAUCUUUUUUUUUCUUCCGCUAUUCAUCUCCACUAAAGGAAAAAUCCUUAUAGGCUGUUCAUCAAAGGUUGCCCUUAUCAAACAAGAGCAACCUUUAAGAACAAAAAAAAAUAAAUAAAUAAAAAAUAAUUAAAAUCAGAAAAUUUCCCAAAAAACAAACGCAGCCUUUAAACUAAAAAAAAGUAAACCAACUCUGCUCUCUCGGUCUCUCCUCCCUGCAGCCAGUCUCUCACAUGUGAACCAUCUCCCUGCAGUUGACCGGCUAUCUCCUCCUUCUCAGGUGACCGGCGAUACCACACUCACACACUCGCACCCUCUCUCCUCCUUCUCAGGCGACAACAGUGAUUUCAAUCGUCUUCUCUUCUUUGAGCACGCUCGCAAGUCCGCUGAAGCCGCCUACAUAAAAAACCCUCUCGAUGCUAAAUAGGAUGAGAUAAUUAGUACCCGUGGUCAGGUUGAGCCUCCUGGAAUGCAUAUGAUCGGGAACCAUGGAUAGUGUCCGGUCUGGACCUCACAGUCAGAUUUUCCGGCCUGAUAACUUCGUCUUAUGGCAGUCUGGGGCCGGUGAUAAGUGGGAAAAAGAUCAUUAUACUGAAGGUGUUGAGCUUAUUGACUCUGUUCUUGAUGUUGUUCGUAAGGAGGCUGAGAAUUAUGUCUGGCUUUAAGGUGUAUAACAAUCUUUCUCUCUUUGAGGUAAUUCCGAAAAAAAACAAGAAAAUUAUAUACUCCUUCCGUAUUUUAAAAAGAGAUACACUUUCCUUAAAGACUUAUCAUUUGUGUCAUUUACGAUGCAAAAAUGUAAACACUUACCUAAUUAAGGCUAUGUUAUGUUCACCUUAUUUCCA